rnacentral:lncRNA from 1 species
GAUUUUGACAUUUGAUUAGGGACUUUCCAUUUUAAAUUUUUCUUGGAGUUGAGUUUUUUUUGUAUUUUACUUCGUACAUAUGAAUCCUCGGCUGUAACAUAAUUUCAGGCUAGAAAAUGUGAUAUUUCAAUAUUUCCAUUUAUUCAUGUUCAUGUUGACAACAAUGUUUCAUUUUAUAAACAGCACUACAAGAGGUUUUUAAUAAUUAUUUGUGUAGCCUCUUGAAUGUAUCUGUAUUGUAAAUAUUUCUAAGCAUUAGCAUGUCUAACUUAAAUGCAAACCAGAUGCUCCGCAGGGCAUAGCUUUAUACGACCGCAGAGGUUGAACCCUGAACAGUUGGGGCAAGUAUGGACACAACAUUCAAGCUGGAUUCAGCUCUAAAUUUGGAUUGUGAUUAAAUAGUUGACACAGCAUAGGUUUCUGACACAGAAUGAAUGUGUUCUAAUGAACUUAAAAUUUU